AAAACUAUGAGCGGGUAUCUUCAGCAAUGAAGAUUGAGAGCAAAACCGUUCGAACUCGAUCAAGUUGACACUUGCGUGAGGAUCUUAGUUUCUCCUUUC
rnacentral:ncRNA from 2 species